UGGCUAGAUCAGCUGAUAUUGAUUGUAUAUUCAUUCCUUAUAGCAUUAUAGCAAUUAAUUUUCUCAACAGACAAAAGCAAUAAUUACAGGCUUGAAUAAGAAAUCUAAAUCAAAAUCAAUUUUUCUCUGUAAAUGUAUUUGUGUUUAUAUGGAAGACUUUUUUUUAUUAUUAAAUUUAAAUAUUCCCAUAUCCCCUUUGUGAUCGUAGUAUCACAAAUAAGUUUGUUAUGAUAUUGUUAAAGAUAAUUAAAAAAAAAAUAACUGUAAAGUUUUUAAUGAAGAUUCGGAAGAUUUUCGUAUACAUUCAAUUUUUGACUGUGGCUUGCUAAUUUAAUUUAAUUAAUUUUUGAUUGCUCUUUUAUAACAGCUUUUCAAAGAGCCUGAAUAUCAUCUAUCUAUAUUUACAUAUAUAUUUAAAGAUAUAUUUACGAAGCGUGAGUCAAGCUAGGUAAGCCCGAUGAGGUAUUUUAUUUGUCAGUCCGGCCAGCUAUAUUCAAUGAUAGUUUAGUUAGUCAAACUUUUUGCUCAGCUAUCUAAAAUCCUUUGACAUUGACAAUUAUCUAUAGCUAAAUUAGUGUAAUAAUAUACACUUUUAAAAUCUUUUUUUAUAAAUUUUUUUUAAAUUUAUUUUUUAUACUCUCUAUAUUUGCACUACAUUUUCGAGCUCUAACCUCUCAUAUUGGCAAAUCAUGGCAUUGCAUGUGAACAUAUGAAUAUGUACGUCUAUCUAGCCAACUUUUUUUGUAGGGCUGCCAAUAGACCAUUAUAUAAAUUUUUAAAAUUUCAAUUCUGAUGCUGCUUUGUGUUUUUGUUUUUCAUUUUUAUUUUUGUUCAGUGUAUUCCGUCAUGCUUAACUUCUGCCUUUCAGUGUUUUUUGUUGUUGUAUAUUUUUAACUGUUAGCUCGUCACACACAAUAUAAACUGCGCAUUGUGUAUAUAAACUGUUGGCCCAAUUGUAAACUGCCAACAGCUGUCCGCACGCGCACCCUCAAACCUCCCUCCCACCCCCUGCCAUCUGCCCAGACGCCCCUCAAUCAUAGUCGCUGCAGGUGGAAAAAAAAAAAAAAAAAGUUAUGGCGCGCCAUUUGCACGCUUAGCCCAGCGGGUGUGAAGGAUGAAGACUGAGAGGGAGAGGGAUGGGGUGAGAGCAGGAGACACAGAGAGAGGGAGGCAUGGUAACUGGGGUUCUGGUUUUUGAGGUAGACUUCAUUGUUGGUUGGGGAAUUUAACGGGCAUUCAUUACGGCUGGGCUUUACGGCGUAUCGUUGGCAACUGGCUGGUAAAAAAAAUUCGCUUAAGCUUGCAUCGACCGCAAUUCUGUUGAAGCAGAAGCCAGCUAUCAAACACUUGGCAAGCCAAUUAGAGCAAUUAUUGGGCAGCUGUUAACAAUGUGACAACUUUUGUGGCUAUCGCACCUAACCAAUGUAAAAGGAAACCCAUUGAGGUCAAACAAUGGCUCAAUAUUUAAAUAUCUCCAUUUAUGUUAAAGGGUGAGUGGGAGAGAGAGAGAGAUAGAGAGAGCGGGGACACUCAAAGGCAGCUGCCACGUGUUAAGUGCCAACAAAACGCUGCCAGCCACGCCCACUGCUUGCCUGGCAACCCGCCCACAAUUUGCUGGUUGACAAUGCGACAAUUUACGUUAAAUGUUCCGCACAAUUUGAUAUGACAAAAGAGUUGUCUACGUGCCAUUAUUAUUGGCCGCGUGACGCGAUGUGAGCUCUGCAUGCCAUUGUCCUCUCACCAGAGCACACACACACACACACACACACACACACUCGCACACACACACUCACACACACUACGACACACACACAAAGAAAGAGCGCGUGUGCUGUAUGCCCACCAUUGGCAUGCAUAAUUUAAAGUCUCUUGCCGCCCCCUGGCUGGCUGCUGGGGCAGGGGCGUGGCAGCACCAAAUGACUCGCGUGCAAAGGCAAAAAGAAAUAUUUGCAUUUUAUUUUGUGCCACCCACAAAAAUCAAUUUGGCCAAAAGGUGUCGCAGACGGCAGUCGAUGCCCUGUAUAUAUACAUAUAUGCAUAUUAUGUAAUAUAGUAUAUAUGUACAUGUGUAUAUAUAUAUAUAUACAUUCGAUUCUGUCUGGUAUGCGGUUCGGUCGGCCCAUCGACUUUGGCGCCACUUCAAUUUUUUACUUAAGCAUAAAUACGUAAUUAAAAAUGCGUGUGGCCAUUGUCGCUGUUGCUGUUGUUGUUGUUAUAGCUGUUGGUAUUGUCACCAUUGCAGUCAUCGCCGGGCCGUGUCAUUUAAAUUUAUAUUUUACAAGCGAGAACAUUUAUCGAAGCAGCGGGAGUCACCACACUUGGAUGCCCUUUUGAAGCACAUUUGGGUCAACACGAAGCUCUCUGCUAAAAAUUUCAUUUUUUUUAUGGGAAACGCCAAUUUGGCUUAAACGAUUCUAAAACUUUUUUGUGAUGUAUCGAAAUAUUGCUUUUUAAACUUAUCGUAUUAAAAAAUAAGUUUUUUUCAAAGUGCAUUUCAAUUAUUAUGAUCAUGGUUUCAAAAUAAAAAGUAUAUAACAUAAAAUAUAUGGGCCUUUCUGAACGCUACAAACGUAGACCGUUCUGGAGAAAUAUCCAUAUACAAAAAGUAGUGGCAGUAGUAGUUAAAGUUGCAAUUAUUAUAUAAAAGUAGUAGUAGUAGUUAAAAUUAUCGAUAUAUAAACAGUAGUAGUUCUUGCAGUAGUAGUAGUAGUAUCAAUUGUAGAAGUAUAAGCAGUGGCAGUAGUUGUAGUAGUAGUAGUAGUAGAAGUAGUAGUAGUAGAGUUUUAAUUGUAGAAGCAGUAGCACUGGUAGUAGUAGUAGUAACAGAAGUGGUAGUAGUACAGUUUCAAUUGUAGAAUAAUAAGCAGUAGUAGUAGUAAAGUACUAGAAAUAGGAAAAGAAUUCUGUAUGAGCAUGCCAAUAAUUAAAAAUAAUAGUUGGAUGAUUAUUAAUUGUAGUAGGCGAUAGAAGUAGCAGCAUUGCUAAUAGUAGUAGGAUAGUAUUAAUUCCCAAAGUAUUCAUUGUUGAAAUAGUACUUAAAGAAGUCGUAGUAAAAAUAGUAGUAGUUCACGAUUGAUGUGAGAGUAGCAGAAUCAAUUGCAUAAAAUUCAGUUGGCUUUUACUUUUAGAAUGUAUAGCAGAAAUGUUAUUGCAAAUAGAGGAAACAAUUAUUAAAUCAAGAUUGAUUGAUUGUUAGAUAUUCUUCAUUCAUCCAUUGGGUGCGUAAAAUACCAACGAACCCUUUCGGAGAGUACGAAAGCAAAUUGAUGCUUGAUAAUAAGUUAAAGGUGAAGCUUGCUGAGUCAUGAGAAAAAUGUGCAUGAGUAUGCAAGGAAAUGGAGUGGGAGAUUAUAUAUUCAUUUAUGUUUAAUAUAUUUUCCAUUAAUGACUGUUAUUUAAUGCAUGUUAUAUUUUAUGUUAUUAAUUAUGUUUUAUGAUAUAUUAAUUUUAUCAUAUAAUAUUUUAUUUUCAAUCGUAAGUUAAAGUUUCAAGCAUUUAUUGUCGCGGUAGAAAAGUAGAGCAUUUAACCCUCAGUGAAGCGCAAGGAUUUUAAUUUCUCACAUUCUUUUUUUUUCAUUCAUGUUGCUGAUUGUUGUAAAUUAUGGCUUAAAUAAAAGUCGCUGCCACAGACUCAGCCACUUCUCACAUACGCACGCAUAAACAUAUAUGUAAAAUGGAUCAAAAUGUGCGCGUGUGCGUGUGUAUGUAUAUUUGAUGCAAGGCCAUUGGGCAACUAUCACGUUAUUAUUAAUGAAUGAGUAUUUAUUUUGUAUUUACGGCCGAAUUGUGCGGCUUGCUGAAUCGCCCUGGCACUUAAUAUGCCAGCAAUGCGCAGUGCCCAGUGCCCAGGACGCAGCUCAGCUUCUGUUCUGUUCUGCUCUGUUCUGGACGGCUUCUUGUUUUCGCUGCUAUAGUUUUUCGAGUAUUCGAUUUUUAUGCAAAUUGCAUGUAUUGUAUGCUGGGCCGUUGUUGUUUCUGUUGUCAAUAUUUAAAUUGAGUAAGAGCAAGCAGCAAGCGAUUGUAAAUGUGGAAUGGGAAAAUAAUGAUAGGCGCCUUAACGCCCAUAAGUAGCUGUUGCAGCAAUUGCGAAAAAUAUUGUUUUAAGCCCGAAGGAGGACAACAGGAUUUAUGGCUGAGAGAUGCAACAGAGCAGAUUUACAUGGAGGUUACCUUUAUGAUUUAAAUGCAACGAGCGGAAAGAACUAAGUGAAAUAUGAUGCGAGCC